UAUCGAAGAUAAUCGAUGGAAUGACACAGAAAGUACGCAUAUUAUGGAUACACUCCAAGAAUAUAUAUUUCGCACCUUCUACAUUCGAGCACGUAUCCCCCCAUUUUCACCCGAAGAUAUCAAAUAUUUGUGUAUAGAUUAUGUUUUACAAAGUAAAGUUGGUGAAGAUAUCAUUGUAAAUACAAUAUUUCAUAGCGUGGCUAGAAGACUUGGUCUACGUUGCGAUGUACUAUAUAUUGAAGAUGGAUUCUGUAUAUUUUGGAAAUCAAAAUUAGUCACGAAUAAUUUUGAAAAUGCAGGAUGUUUUUACACACAAAAGUAUUUCCC